UACGGAGGAUGCAAGCGUUAUCCGGAUUUAUUGGGUUUAAAGGGUGCGUAGGCGGGACAGAAAGUCAGUGGUGAAAUCCUGCGGCUUAACCGUAGAACUGCCAUUGAUACUUUUGUUCUUGAGUACAGUUGAGGUGGAUGGAAUGUGUAGUGUAGCGGUGAAAUGCUUAGAUAUUACACAGAACGCCAAUUGCGAAGGCAAUUCACUAAGCUGUUACUGACGCUGAGGCACGAAAGCGUGGGGAUCAAACAGG
rnacentral:rRNA from 1 species